CUCAGAGUUACGUGACACACAACCAAGAGUAGAAAAAAACGUUUAAAGCGGAGCAUUCGGAACAUUGGGAAAUCUGAGGUUUUUCCUCACGAGGAUUUCUCUGAAAUACAUUCACAACCAGACA